UUAGGAAUUUUGCACAAUGGGGGAAACCCUGAUGCAGCAACGCCGCGUGGACGAAGAAGGCCUUCGGGUCGUAAAGUCCUUUUCAACGGGAAGAUACGGACGGUACCGUUGGAAUAAGCAUCGGCUAACUACGUGCCAGCAGCCGCGGUAAUACGUAGGAUGCAAGCGUUAUCCGGAUUUACUGGGCGUAAAGAGCGCGUAGGUGGUUUCGUAAGUUGGGCGUGAAAGCCCCCGGCUUAACUGGGGAGGGUCGUUCAAAACUACGAGACUUGAGGGUGGAAGAGGAGAUUGGAAUUCCCGGUGUAGUGGUGAAAUGCGUAGAUAUCGGGAGGAACACCUGUGGUGAAGACGAAUCUCUGGGCCACUCCUGACACUAAGGCGCGAAAGCGUGGGGAGCGAACGGA
rnacentral:rRNA from 1 species